AAAUGAAUAGACGGGGGCCCGCACAAGCGGAGGAACAUGUGGUUUAAUUCGAUGAUACGCGAGGAACCUUACCCGGGCUUGAAUUGUGAGAGAACGACCCAGAGAUGGGAAGGCCCUUCGGGACUCUCAUGAAGGUGCUGCAUGGUUGUCGUCAGCUCGUGCCGUGAGGUGUCGGCUCAAGUGCCAUAACGAGCGCAACCCCUCUCCAUAGUUGCCAUCAGGUUAUGCUGGGCACUCUGUGGACACUGCCACCGUAAGGUGUGAGGAAGGUGGGGAUGACGUCAAAUCAGCACGGCCCUUACGUCCGGGGCUACACACGUGUUACAAUGGCCGGUACAGAGAGCAGGGAGCCCGCAAGGUCUCUCAAAUCAUUAAAUCCGGUCUCAGUUCGGACUGGGGUCUGCAACCCGACCCCACGAAGCUGGAUUCGCUAGUAAUCGCGCAUCAGCCAUGGCGCGGUGAAUACGUUCCCGGGCCUUGUACACACCGCCCGU
rnacentral:rRNA from 1 species